rnacentral:rRNA from 1 species
CCUACGGGUGGCAGCAGUGGGGGAUAUUGCACAAUGGGCGCAAGCCUGAUGCAGCGACGCCGCGUGGAGGAAGAAGGUUUUCGGAUUGUAAACUCCUGUCUUCAGGGACGAUAAUGACGGUACCUGAGGAGGAAGCCACGGCUAACUACGUGCCAGCAGCCGCGGUAAUACGUAGGUGGCAAGCGUUGUCCGGAAUUACUGGGUGUAAAGCGAGCGUAGGCGGGACAACAAGUCCAGUGUGAAAUCUAUCGGCUCAACCGAUAGCUGCGCUGGAAACUGUGGUUCUUGAGUGAAGUAGAGGCAGGCGGAAUUCCUAGUGUAGCGGUGAAAUGCAUAGAUAUCACACAGAACACCGAUUGCGAAGGCAUCUCACGAAUCCGCGAUUGACGCUGAUGCACGAAAGCGUGGGUAUCAAACAGGAUUAGAUACCCGGGUAGUC